GACAGGCUAUCGCCCUUUGGUCAGAUUCUUGGCUCUUGUUUUGUUAAUUUUGUAGGUGGAAGGUGAUUUGAAUUUAUGAACUGAAAUCUGUUGGGUUCAAGCAUGUAAAUGUACCUGAAAAAUCUCAAUUAUUCUUGGAUUUGUUAGCUUAACCUACACAGUGUUAUAUAGUAUCUUCUUAUUUUGUUCUCCCGAAUCUCCCUGUGGAUCUUUAUAAAUAAUAUAAAAAAAGGUUUUUUUCUUGUUGAGAUUUAAGCCUGUUCUUCUUAUGCUGAAGAAAAUGUCAAAGAGACAGAAUCGAUGUUCCUGUUUACAAAGCUGGAAUUUUACUAGAAAGUACUAGAAGCACUUCUAGUUUUCUACUGCUGUGUCACAUUCCUCCUUGAUGCAAGAUGGAAAAUAUUAGACUGAAAUAUGACUAAAUAUUGUGACUAUACUGUACUUUCUAUAUUUACUGAGCUUUAUAUUCCCUGCUUUAAAGACUUUUAUUCUAUAGAGAAAACGAAAGCUGGGAUUCUGAGUGAAGAAUUGGAUUCCACAAGCUGAAAUUCCAGGAGAAACUUUUCUUCUUAGUACCAGCUCUACAAAUCUUCAAAAUUCUUUAAGAGAGUCACUCCUUUUGGCAUGUAUUUCUUGGUCUCUGCUCCCUGUGUUUACGAAAUGGAACUACCCUGCUUGCUUUCAUCACAUUAGAGGCAGUCAGACUCCUGGCAGGAUAAGGAAAGGUUCUUUCUAAUUAGUUUUUUUCACGCUAAUGCUGCUUUCAAAUCUUGCUAAUGAUCCAACAAUUAUUUCAAGCCAUCCUUAUAGUUUCCUGUGACCUUGUGUGCAUCCUUACUGUGUGUUGCAGUUAAUUUUUUGCAUUUGAAGAUACAGGCAAAACAAGAGACCGGAAUCCAUUGAUUUUGAGACUUGCAUAACUCUGGGAGCAAAGCUGAGCAGUUUCGUGACUGACAUUCACAGGUUGGACAAACAAGGCUUCACAGCAACUUUCUUGCAACUUUUAAUAACCAUGGAUGAAUGGAGCCGGUAUAAUCAAGUUCACGCGUAAUUUACCGCGAAGGAUCGUAUUUCAUUUUGCUGUCACACACCCUAUUUAUAAUCUUCUGCACUGCUCUGAGAAGGGACUCUGGAAGGACGAGCUGUCUUGGAUAUCACAGGACGUGCAGCUCCACACACAGCAAUGCCAGAGCUUGCUGAUCAUCCCCCAGCAUAAACAGGAGCAGCAAAGUGGCGCUCUGACAGGAUCAUGAGUCAUGAGGAGACCCAAAACAACAGAUGGCAGUAAAGCAUUAUUGGGUCUCCUAACCAAAAGGAAUGGAGGUGUGUGAUAUUACAAGCUUCCAGAUGGCAGACUGUAGAAAUGAGAAUUUCAUGAUCUGCUCUUGUGAAUCCUAACCACUGCACAUCACAGAAAGGCUGUAUCUGUGUGUCCCAGUAAUUCAGUGCACCAGCAGUGAAGCAAACAGUAGAUGAAAGAACCUGCUGAUGAGGCCUUUACAUCUUUACACUGAGCCCUGCCUGUCAGGUUUCUGUGGGACUGGGUUUAGCCUGGCCUUCUGAGCUGAGUGCUACCAUCAAACGGGCUGGGAAGCUGCUCAGAGGUUCAGUCAUUGACUGACUCUUCUGUGCCAUCAAAGCCUGGGUGUGCAGUCACUGAGUGCUCCUAGAGGUCACUGCCUUCAUGCCCUGCAGGUUAAAAUUACUUCUGAAUUCUGGCAAGAGAGCUUUUCCAUAUUCUUACAUGCUGUUCCCAAGCCACUUAUUAGUGGGCCAUUGAUUUAUAGCCAGAAGGUGGCCUCCUCCCAAGUGAAAACCGUGAGAUAUUUGUUUGAAAACAUCAUGCUAAUUUAGUUUUUAUAGCUGGUGAUUAUAAGGCUGAACUUUCAUGUUUAAGCAGUGCAGUUGACUUGGAGGGUAACUGCCAUCAGCUCACAGAAAUCUUUAAUUUUCUGCUGCUUUUGGGACCCAAGAGCUGGCUUGAAGAGUGCAGAUCCUCAUGAGAAGGUUUCCUUGCACAGCAAUAUUGCAGUGUGCUGUACCACCUAUAAGAGCAAGCCAUAGUUCAGCUGCUGGUCAUCCUGCUGGUGAUUCCAGGACUGGACACAUCAAUUCUUACAGCCAAUGUCUGCUGGAUCCUCCCCAGUAGCUUAAUUAAGGAGGCUAGUUCACCUUGGAUCCUUCUGACAACGUGCCAGAGAGAAAAAUGUCUCACCUCUCAGCAAAAGGAUGUGUGUGCUUUCGGGCAAUAAACCAACAGAAGGCAUAAAGACUGAGAACACCAUUUUUCCCAUCUCAGAAGAAACUCAUCAUGAUUUACAUUCUUGUAACUGAGAAAAAAAAAAUAAAAAAUGAGGCUCUGAAUAUCUUAGAAGACAUUAUCCAAUUGGAGAAAAGGUUAGGUUUGCACAUUACUGUCUAUAAGAGUAUUUCUCUUCCCCAGCUCCUGCUGGUCAGACGUGUGUGUGUGAAAUGCAAAUGCAGAUGUGGGAGAGUAAGAGAGAAUGUCAUAUCAUAGAACAAAUUUGAGCAGAAAUAGGAGUGAAUGUAUUCAGAGAAAACUUGUCCAUUUGUCACUCACCCUUACUGCUUUUUCAGCUGCCUUUCAUGUCUUCACUUCCAUCUCCUAAACGUAUUUUCUUUAUGAAUGUAAUUGUGAAAUGGCUAAACGUAGGCUGUCAGUAAUGCUGACAGAAGUACAUGUUCAGAAGUACAACACUUAAUUAGAAUUAAAGCAAUAAAUGUGUAUCUGUCUGAGAAAUGGACACAGCUAUGACUGUAAUGGUAAUUAAUACAUUGUUUUUAAGAGGUACUUAACAAAACUGUGGUGGUUUACCUUGUGAAGGCACAAGCUGCACACUUUUGCUCUCAAAAAUUACUCUUCAUGGUUUUCUAUAAAAAGGAUUUCUAUCUUCCUUUAGACCUUUCCAGUUCUAGCUCUUCCUGGGAAAUUAAAUUAAGAAACUGGGUGUACAGUCUUAGAUAAACCAAUUAAUCCUGUUUUUACAUUAAACAAUAUGUUUUAUGUUAGAACAACUGUAAUGGAUUUGUAAAGAACUUGAAUAUUUCAGUCAAAAGAGACUUGGAGUGCUAAUUUUAGUGUCAGUGUAAAUUCAGAGCUGUCACAAACACCUGGCAGAAAAGGUGCAAAGCUAUCAAUGUCUCCUCUACUUCUAUCUCUUCCCAAUUUCUUUCAUUGCAGCCAUAUGAUGGAAAGAACUCCCUUCCUGCCACAGGCCCCCACCUCUCUGUAUUACCCUGAUCAUCCCAACACUUGGUAAGAUAAACCUUACAUGUAUGGGAGUGUCUAAUCUGAACAGAAAAAAAGCCUUGCACAUAAUUAGAAAUAGCUAUGUGCAAGUCUAAAGAGAGAAUUUUUAGUUAAACUCAUGAAUGACUUUUGCUGAAAAGUAACUUGUCUUUUGGGUAUUGAUGGAGAUAUGUGUGUGACACAAUAACACCAGGUGGACUCUCCUUUCUGGGCAGUUUCAGUUAUGGUCCAUUAAAGAACCUUCUUGCUUUAUUAUUUAAAAUCUCAGGUCAGUGAGAUGUGGCACUAAAUGAAUUACUCUGCUGAACUCACCCUGGGUGUGUGCUGCUCAGUGCAAUGCUGUGUUUCCUUAGAAAUCCCCUUGGCCUAACUUCUGUCUGGGUAUAUUUGCAUGGCAGUAGUGACAUCUCAAAUACACAAAACAGUCUUCUACCUGCCAGCUGCACUGCCACAGCUCUACCAUUCCCUCAAGUCCUGUGGUUCCUCUCUAGUGUUGGUGAGGGCUGUUGAGAUGAGCUCUUAGCAUCUGGAGUCCUUCCCCCCAGGUUCCAUCCUUACCCUAAGUUAUACUUCUUACCCCAGGAAAUGCUUGGUUUCUUUUUUAUCUCUCUGCAACACUUUUUCUUCAGUGUUUUGCAGCCCUGUUUUACAUUCAAAUCUGAUUUAUGUGGCCAUCUUCCUUAUGCUGGGUAAUAUUUCUUUGUUAUUUAUAAGCAAAGAUUUUUCCAUGUUUGUUCUGUAUUUCUUUAACUGUUUAUAGCUGUGGAUUUCCUAGUGCCAAGCCUGUGCCCCAUCUUUCAUACUGUGCCUGGUUUUCCAGACUCCAUCCUGUAACUGAGCUUCCCCAGCCUGUGUCCUAUCAGGCUGUGUUUCUCUCUACCACAUUUUGUUAGUCGUGGAACCACAGUGGUGCCAUACAAAGAUACACAGAUGUAAAAUUAAUUAGCCAUAGACACCUAGUCAAUUAGGGGAAAAAAAAAUCUUGUUCCAGGGAACUAAAUUAAGCUAAAAUUAAAUUUCAAGCAGGUUAAGGUAGAUUCAGAUAGAGGAAGGCUGGUAAGUCUCAGUCCUACAAACCCAGUACAACAUUUGUGGGCUGUUACUAGCAGUGGUAGGAACAUAUCAGAGGGGGAGUUAGUUACUACAUUGUGAAGAUGUCCUGUGACAAUUGGCUAAAUUAAGACAAUUCUUCAAAAGCUAUGUUCAAUAACAAUUGUUCUUAAAAGUGACAACAGCUAUGGGAGGAUAACAUUUAGUAUUUCCACAGCGAUUCUAUAACUGAUUCGUUUUAAAUCCGUGAAACAUCAAUUUCCAUCAGUGUGGUGUCACUGCUGAUGAUUACUCAUCUGAUCCACAUGGGUUCCUUAAAAGGAUGUAUGCUCCUAUGAAAAAUAAUUCAUCAAAGAAUUUAAAAAAGUUUAUGUAACACACCUGACAAUUUCUUACCCAGUCUGCAGAGUCUGAGGAAUUGCAGGCAGCUAACAAUGGAAGGCAGCGUGUGUAGGUGCUGUGCCUCAGUCUGUGGUUUGGGAAUUCUGUGCUCUCAUAUCAUCUUUCAUUUGCUGCCAGGUUUCCCCUGAAAGGAUUCUUGAAGUGAAAAAUGGGAAACAAUAUUUUAGUUAUUCUCACCCCUGGUCCUCUGAAAUAAUGGAGAGCCAGGAGUGUUAAUUUAAAAGUGUAGUGCUGUGCAAACGUAGCAAAUAUUGCAAUCUCCUGUUAUGGAACCAGUGUUCAAAAUCUUAAACAGACAGGAGAAAAAAGGUAAAAAACCCCUUGGUGGAAUACUACUGUCAACCUUAAGAUAGGCUCCUUCCAGUUGUUUCUUCUGUCUCCCAUUGCUCUUGUGCUUUGUGUGUGAAACUGAAGAAAAUUUAUAAAGAAUUGUUUUCAGAAGCAGGCUAGAAAAGGUUCAGUUUUCUUUUGUCCAUAGCAGGUUGUGUUUUUUCCUAGGACUGCAACUCUUUCUGAUGUCUAACUCUGCACACUGUUGGAAAGAACACCCCAAAAGCAAGCUUUUGUCUAUAAAUGUCCAAAGUAAGGAUUUCAGCUGUUUUUAGGUGUCUCCUAACAGACAGUCUUGCUUUUAUCUACUCUUUUUGACCCUACUUAAGCCAUGUGAGAACAGUGCCUAAGAAGAUCCUUGAUGCCCAUGUAAUGUUAGCUGACUUGAUGAAAGAUGUGAAGAAUAGAGCUGACUUGGAUUUUGGGGCCUGAUAGAAGGAAAACUCUCUGAAGAAGUUGCUUUCUUGGUUUUGAGCUAGUUUUAAAUGAAUGCAUGUGACUAUAAAAUCUGCCUGUAUCCUGGUUACCUGUUCAUGCAGCACUACUGUAAGCGAGAACAGGCAUGUUGAAAUGCUCACUUCACUGACCUAAGAUUUGGAAAUGAACUUUUAGGACAUCCUGCCAAAGGAGAGGAGAUUCUUCAUCUCAUACACAUUCCAUUUGGAGCCUGGAAGGGCCACUCUGUGAUCACGGGAGAAGGUGGCAAAGACCUAAACCUGCUUUCUGCAGCCAGCUCUGCAGUGUCAGAAGGAAAAGUGAGGCUGCUGUUCUGCCUUCCUUCCACAACAAGCUAAACUUGUGAGAAUUCUCCCAAACAAUCCCAUGUGGCAAGGUCAAGCCUUUUCUUGGAGUGCUACGUAGGUCUUUACCUAUAUGUCUCUUGCUAUGGCUUCCAAAGCCAAUUUCAUGCCUGACAUAUGUUCCUUUGGCACUGAUUAGAACCUCAAAAUGGCACUUUGAUUUUUUCUCUUACAGGCAGGGGUGAUCAGGAGAACAACAAUGUCUGAAAUAUGGAUAUUUAGGAAGGUCUCUUAUUUUUAUUUUGGUUUACUGCAACCAAAGACUAAACUUAUGCAUUUAUUCUUCUUCUACUUAUUCCCCUCCUAUCCCAUAUAGGUAAAAACAUCCUGGUAUUAAUUCCCAUUAGGGAAAGGAACAGGUGAGUAUUUAAUACACUGGAAUAAAUAGUUUUGUGUAACUUUAUGCCAACUCAGUACACCCAGUGAACGAUAUUUCUGUUUAGAAAUAGAAAUGACUGGGACUCCAGCAUUUCAAAGUAUUUCACAGCACUUUUAGAAUAUUGUGAUGGGGGAAAAUGUUAGUAGCUGCCAUUUUAGUGUGAUGAAAUGUUGAGAAUUGAACUUCAAAGUUAUGCAAGUGCAUUGAAGGAAUGUUGUUCGUACCUACUGCCCUUAAGAGGGCGCUUAUUCACCAUUCACCAUUGCUUUUGUUUUUAACAUCAUCUGUUAUAAUAACGUGAUUUUAGAUUUCCACUGCACAAGGUUAACAUCUGACUGCAACCUGUUUGGGCUAGCUAUGGUUACUGACAUCAAUAGAUACAAGUGUACAGCCGUAUUGCAUUAUUUAGGCUUAGUUUAUAUAACAUUUGUGUCAGUCCACAAGAGUGCCACUUCCACCCAGAGCAGCAGGUGCAAAGCAGCUCCACACCUCUUAAAAGAAACAGCUUUUUUGUUACACAGGAGGAUUCUGUUUUGAUUUGAGGUUUUCUUUGGUUCUGCCUUUUCUGGGACAGCCAUCAGCUGUAAUAAACUUUGUUGCUUCAUCCUCUGAAGUUGUUCUUUGAGUAAAUUACUGCCUAAGUAGGGAUGCAGGAGAAGACUCUGAAGGAUAAAGAACAGCUCUGGUAACAAAAUUGGACUAUCAAGUGUCUGUUUUCUUUCUCAGGCAAGUACUGAGAAGUUCUGUUUUCUUGGAAAGGUUCUUCCCAGUUAGAAGUUCUGCUUGUAUGCAAUCAUUGUGGCAGCUGGAUGGAUGUGGCAGUCAAUGCUUUUUCUCAAAUAAAAUAGGAUUUGGCUAAAGAUCUCAAUUAGUCCAGAGCUAGAUCUUGGUAUCACAGUCUGCUCCUUUCCACACAGAACACUGGAGAAUGAAAGUGUUUGGUACAAGCUUGGCAUCUCCAUAAUUGGAUUAUGUCACAUGCCACUAGCAGCAACUUCCAUGUAAAUAUACAUGCAAAAUUUGUAACACAUGAAUUAUCACAAUAUUUACUUAUGCAUCAUCUGUUUGGAAAUAAAGGAGAGCUGACUUCCACUCCCCUUUGCCAAUCAUCCUUUUAGGUUUUACAAUUUUAUGUGGACUUGAAACAUUGCUUAAUUGUAGACAGCUAAACUGUGGAAUUUGUAUGGAGGAGCUCAACUCUGGUGACAGAGUUCUGCCUGAUUUUUAAAGCCUUCAUUUUCCAUAUGUGAUUGAUGUCUUUCAUGUGAGUCUGAAGGAGCAAAAACAUGUUUCAGUGGCUUGUACACGAGCAUGAAGACUGUGUACAGGCCACAGACAGAAAAACCACAUAAGCACUUCACAGGCUGUAUUCUGUAGCUCCAUGGGACCUUAUGGCUGUAGACAUCAAAGCUUCAUAUUGUGAACUUAUAAAGGCAUCACUUGUUUAUCAUUUCAAAAGAUGCUGAACAUGUGUAUUCUCAUAAAGCUUUGUGAUCAUACAUGCUGUAAAAAUAAAGGCAGUUACAUCAAGUUACUUCUAGGCAACAACAAAAGCUGAUCUUUCUUAUGCUCUUUUAUAAGUGAAAUUAUGUGUGUACAUUUGUUUCUCUCUCACACACACCAGUGGUGUAUAGGUGGGAUCUGGCUAUUAAACAGUUUUCUAUACCUUGUAAGCCUUUGUUUAACAUUUACCUACAUGAAGACCACUGAUAUUAAGUGCAUAUCUAUAGGACACAAUUUAAUUUUACAUGAAUAGACAGAGUAUAGCUUCUGAUAUUAAAAUAAUUAUAUAAUAUAUAAUAUAAUAUAAUGAUAAUUAUAUAUAGAUAUAUUUGAGAUUAUGAAACAUUGCUUUGUAUCUCUAUCACUACAUAAAACUGAAUCUUAUGAAAUACACAACUACCUGUUGUGUCUGAGGUUAAUGAGAAAAGACAUUUAAUUAGUUUGCCAUAAAUCUAGGGGACUGCUGUGACUUUUUUUUUGACCUGGACCAGGUUAUUGAAUAUUUUAGUAACAGAACUUAUGAAAGAAACUGUCUGGUUUGCCUUGCCUUGCCUUCCUUGCAUUGCCAUGCCUUGCUUUGUCUCCCUUCCUUCCUCCCUUCUCAUCCAUCUUAUGAUAUAAAACAAAUUAUUACUCCUACUCUGAAGUGGUAAAGGGAGACUUAAGGGUUUACAAGCUCUAGAAAAGUGGUUCUAGAGGCUUUGGACCAAGUCUUUGCAGGUGCCACUAGGUGAAACAAGUGUGACAGGUACUUGAUGAAUAGUAAGGACAGAACUGCUGCCUUCCAGUAGUAGGAAGAAAAGGGUUACGAGUUUUCUUAGUGCACUGAGACAUCACAUAUUAUUUAAUAUCUGAGGAGUUCCUCCAGUGGCUAAGUGACUUGAAGUUAUUGCUGAUGUGUCAUAGGAGCCACGUGAAAAGAGCUGUUUCCAGAGGUGGCAGUGGAGACCUCUGUUUCAUGGUUUUAUUUUAUUAUUUGGCCAUGUUUUAACUGCUGUCAUUGAGAUUUCCUCUGUUGCUUCCAGUGGAGCUCACAAGUGGAAUAUUUUGUAAAAGGAUAGGCUGUAUCCUAUGGUCUCAUAAUCACUGUGGAAUGGUGCAGGCAGAAGUGCUCCUGAAGAAAGCUGCUGUAAUUUCCACUCUAACAACUGCUAAAACAUCCUCUAUCCAUUUUAGCUGCUCUUGUUGUUAAAAUGUGAAAAAUUAUUUAAACAGAAAUCUGGAAAACUCUGGAGUUAUAAAUCAGCAUAUGAAAAUUUUGCCAUUGAAGAUUGUUUUUGGUGA